CAGAGUUGCAAAACUCCCAACCAUUGUGAACCUACCUCACCGUUGCUUCGGCGGGUGGCCCUCGCCAGGGCCUGCGCCGGCCUCCGUGCCGGCAACCCGUCAGAAGACCGAAACUCUUCGUCAUCACUGGCCUCUCUGAGUAACUUAUACAAUAAGUUA
rnacentral:misc_RNA from 1 species